UGGCGGACGGGUGAGUAACGCGUGGGUAACCUGCCUCAUACAGGGGGAUAACAGUUAGAAAUGACUGCUAAUACCGCAUAAGACCACAGCACCGCAUGGUGUAGGGGUAAAAAACUCCGGUGGUAUGAGAUGGACCCGCGUCUGAUUAGGUAGUUGGUGGGGUAACGGCCUACCAAGCCGACGAUCAGUAGCCGACCUGAGAGGGUGACCGGCCACAUUGGGACUGAGACACGGCCCAA
rnacentral:rRNA from 1 species